rnacentral:rRNA from 1 species
GAUGAACGCUGGCGGCGUGCUUAACACAUGCAAGUCGAACGGAAAGGCUCCUGCUUGCAGGGGUACUCGAGUGGCGAACGGGUGAGUAACACGUGGGUGAUCUGCCCUGCACUUCGGGAUAAGCCUGGGAAACUGGGUCUAAUACCGGAUAGGACCACCUUUUGGAUGGUGUGGUGGAAAGUUUUUCGGUGUGGGAUGAGCUCGCGGCCUAUCAGCUUGUUGGUGGGGUAAUGGCCUACCAAGGCGUCGACGGGUAGCCGGCCUGAGAGGGUGUACGGCCACAUUGGGACUGAGAUACGGCCCAGACUCCUACGGGAGGCAGCAGUGGGGAAUAUUGCACAAUGGGCGGAAGCCUGAUGCAGCGACGCCGCGUGGGGGAUGACGGCCUUCGGGUUGUAAACUGCUUUCGCUAGGGACGAAGCGCAAGUGACGGUACCUGGAGAAGAAGCACCGGCUAACUACGUG